rnacentral:rRNA from 1 species
CCUACGGGUGGCUGCAGUGGGGAAUAUUGGACAAUGGGCGAAAGCCUGAUCCAGCCAUGCCGCGUGUGUGAAGAAGGCCUUCGGGUUGUAAAGCACUUUCAGUGGGGAAGAAAGCCUUGGGGCUAAUACCCUCGAGGAAGGACAUCACCCACAGAAGAAGCACCGGCUAACUCCGUGCCAGCAGCCGCGGUAAUACGGAUGGUGCGAGCGUUAAUCGGAAUUACUGGGCGUAAAGCGCGCGUAGGCGGUCUGAUAAGCCGGUUGUGAAAGCCCCGGGCUCAACCUGGGAACGGCAUCCGGAACUGUCAGGCUAGAGUGCAGGAGAGGAAGGUAGAAUUCCCGGUGUAGCGGUGAAAUGCGUAGAGAUCGGGAGGAAUACCAGUGGCGAAGGCGGCCUUCUGGACUGACACUGACGCUGAGGUGCGAAAGCGUGGGUAGCAAACAGGAUUAGAUACCCGAGUAGUC